GGAACACUAUAGUCACCUAAAUUACUUUAGCUAAAUAAAGCAGUUUUAGUGUAUGGAUCAUUCCCCUGCAAUUUCUCUGCUCAAUUCACUGUCAUUUAGGAGUUAAAUCACUUUGUUUCUGUUUAUGCAGCCCUAGCCACACCUCCCCUGGCUAUGAUUGACAGGGCCUGCAUGAAAAAAAAAAAACUGGUUUCACUUUCAAACAGAUUUAAUUUACCUUAAAUAAUUGUAUCUCAAUCUCUAAAUUGAACUUUAAUCACAUACAGGAGGCUCUUGCAGGGUCUAGCAAGCUAUUAACAUAGCAGGGGAUAAGAAAAUCUU